rnacentral:rRNA from 1 species
UACGAAGGUGGCUAACGUUGUUCGGAAUUACUGGGCGUAAAGCGCGCGCAGGCGGUUCUUUAAGUCAGGGGUGAAAGCCCAGAGCUCAACUCUGGAAUUGCCUUUGAAACUAGAGAACUUGGGUACGGGAGAGGUGAGUGGAAUUCCGAGUGUAGAGGUGAAAUUCGUAGAUAUUCGGAAGAACACCAGUGGCGAAGGCGGCUCACUGGCCCGUUACCGACGCUCAGGCGCGACAGCGUGGGGAGCAAACAGG